rnacentral:rRNA from 1 species
GAUGAACGCUGGCGGCGUGCUUAAUACAUGCAAGUCGAGCGAACAGACGAGGUUCUUGCUCCUCUACCGUUAGCGGCGGACGGGUGAGUAACACGUGGAUAACCUACCUAUCUGACUGGGAUAACUUCGGGACAUGGGAGCUCAUACCAGAUACUAUAUUCAACCGCAUGGUUUAAUAGUAAAAGACGGCUUUGCUGUCACUUAUAGCUGGUUCCGUGCUUGAUUAGCUAGUUGGUAAGGUAACGGCUUACCAAGGCGGCGAUGCGUAGCCGACCUGGCGGAGUGAGGGGCCAGGCUGGAGCUGGGACACGGUCAAGAGUGCUCCGAGAGGCAGCAGUUGCGAAUCUGGGACAAAGGGGGGAAGCAUAAUGGAGCAAGGGGGCGAGAGUGAUGAAGGUAUUCUGUGCGUAAAAAGCUGUUUUUAGGGUUGAACAGAUGUGUAAGUAACUAAGCAGUAAGUGACGGUACCUGAACAAGAAGCGACGGCUAACUACGUG